AACGAACGCUGGCGGCAGGCUUAACACAUGCAAGUCGAACGCAUCCUUCGGGGUGAGUGGCAGACGGGUGAGUAACGCGUGGGAACGUGCCCUUCAGUUCGGGAUAACCCAGGGAAACUUGGGCUAAUACCGGAUACGUGCGAGAGCAGAAAGAUUUAUCGCUGAAGGAUCGGCCCGCGUCUGAUUAGCUAGUUGGUGGGGUAAUGGCCCACCAAGGCGACGAUCAGUAGCUGGUCUGAGAGGAUGAUCAGCCACAUUGGGACUGAGACACGGCCCAAACUCCUACGGGAGGCGGCAGUGGGGAAUAUUGGACAAUGGGCGCAAGCCUGAUCCAGCCAUGCCGCGUGAGUGAUGAAGGCCUUAGGGUUGUAAAGCUCUUUCCUCCGGGACGAUAAUGACGGUACCGGAAGAAGAAGCCCCGGCUAACUUCGUGCCAGCAGCCGCCGUAA
rnacentral:rRNA from 1 species